AUGUUUUUCACAACAGAACCAAAAAAUGUGCAUAUAUUUUCUCUUAUGUGUAUGUACAUGCUUAUGGUGUGCAUCAACUAUUGGUUCUUUGGUUGUCCAAAUGAAAAUAUAACAACCAUUCUUUGGAAAUUAAGAAUAAAUAAACAACUUUCUUUUGAAUCAUUCAAUUUAUUGAUUAAAUUAAAUGAAGAGGAACUUUAUUGUGUAGUUUGCUAUCUUCUUUUAAAAUGUUAA